rnacentral:rRNA from 1 species
GACGAACGCUGGCGGCGUGCUUAACACAUGCAAGUCGAACGGAGAGGCCUGCAGCUUGCUGCCGGUACUAGGGUGGCGAACGGGUGAGUAAGACGUGGGUGUUCUGCGUUGCAAUCCGGGAUAAUCUUGGGAAACUGGGUCUAAUAACGGAUAGGAAAGCUGCUUAGUGUCAGUUGAGGAAAGGUUUUUCGGUGCAAUAUGAGCUGGGGGCCUAUCAGAUUGCUGGUGUGGUAAUGGCCUACCCAAGCGUCGACGGGUAGCCUGCCUGAGAGGGGUAACGGGCACAUUGGGACUGAAAUGCGGCCCAGACCACUACCGGAGGCAGCGGUGGAGAAUGUUGUAUAGUAGGCGGAAGCCUGAUGCAGUGACGCCGCGUGGGGGAUGUGGGGCUUCGGGUUGUAAUCUCCUUUCGACUGAGACGAAGCUUUUGUGACGGUACCUGACUAAGAAGCACCGGCUAACUACGUG